rnacentral:rRNA from 1 species
GGCCAGACUCCUACGGGAGGCAGCAGUGAGGAAUAUUGGUCAAUGGGAGAGAUCCUGAACCAGCCAAGCCGCGUGAGGGAAGACGGCCCUAUGGGUUGUAAACCUCUUUUGUCGGAGAACAAAACCCGGGACGUGUCCCGGACUGCGUGUAUCCGAAGAAAAAGCAUCGGCUAACUCCGUGCCAGCAGCCGCGGUAAUACGUAUGGUGCAAGCGUUAUCCGGAUUUACUGGGCGUAAAGGGAGCGCAGGCGGCGCGCCAAGUCUGAUGUGAAACCCCGGGGCUCAACCCCGGGCAUGCAUUGGAAACUGGCGGGCUGGAGUGCCGGAGAGGUAAGCGGAAUUCCUAGUGUAGCGGUGAAAUGCGUAGAUAUUAGGAGGAACACCAGUGGCGAAGGCGGCUUACUGGACGGCAACUGACGCUGAGGCUCGAAAGCGUGGGGAGCAAACAGGAUUAGAUACCCCCGUAG